rnacentral:rRNA from 1 species
UACGUAGGGGGCAAGCGUUGUCCGGAAUUAUUGGGCGUAAAGAGCGUGUAGGCGGUCCGGUAAGUCAGCUGUGAAAGUCAAGGGCUCAACCCUUGAAUGCCGGUUGAUACUGUCGGGCUAGAGUCCGGAAGAGGCGAGUGGAAUUCCCGGUGUAGCGGUGAAAUGCGUAGAUAUCAGGAAGAACACCCGUGGCGAAGGCGGUUCUCUGGGACGGUACUGACGCUGAGACGCGAAAGCGUGGGGAGCGAACAGG